rnacentral:rRNA from 1 species
UUGAACGCUGGCGGCAUGCUUUACACAUGCAAGUCGAACGGUAACAGGCCUUCGGGUGCUGACGAGUGGCGAACGGGUGAGUAAUGCAUCGGAACGUACCCAGAGGUGGGGGAUAACGCAGCGAAAGCUGUGCUAAUACCGCAUGUGAUCUGAGGAUGAAAGCGGGGGACCGAGCAGCAAUGUUUGGCCUCGCGCCUUUGGAGCGGCCGAUGUCAGAUUAGCUAGUUGGUGGGGUAAAGGCCUACCAAGGCGACGAUCCGUAGCUGGUCUGAGAGGACGACCAGCCACACUGGGACUGAGACACGGCCCAGACUCCUACGGGAGGCAGCAGUGGGGAAUUUUGGACAAUGGGCGCAAGCCUGAUCCAGCAAUGCCGCGUGCGGGAAGAAGGCCUUCGGGUUGUAAACCGCUUUUGGCAGGAACGAAACGGUGUCCGCUAAUACCGGGCGCUAAUGACGGUACCUGCAGAAUAAGCACCGGCUAACUACGUG